rnacentral:rRNA from 1 species
AGUGAACGCUGGCGGUAGGCCUAACACAUGCAAGUCGAACGGCAGCACAGGAGAGCUUGCUCUCUGGGUGGCGAGUGGCGGACGGGUGAGGAAUACAUCGGAAUCUACUCUGUCGUGGGGGAGAACGUAGGGAAACUUACGCUAAUACCGCAUACGACCUACGGGUGAAAGCAGGGGAUCUUCGGACCUUGCGCGAUUGAAUGAGCCGAUGUCGGAUUAGCUAGGUGGCGGGGUAAAGGCCCACCAAGGCGACGAUCCGUAGCUGGUCUGAGAGGAUGAUCAGCCACACUGGAACUGAGACACGGUCCAGACUCCUACGGGAGGCAGCAGUGGGGAAUAUUGGACAAUGGGCGCAAGCCUGAUCCAGCCAUACCGCGUGGGUGAAGAAGGCCUUCGGGUUGUAAAGCCCUUUUGUUGGGAAAGAAAUCCAGCUGGUUAAUACCCGGUUGGGAUGACGGUACCCAAAGAAUAAACACCGGCUAACUUCGUGCCAGCCGCCGCCGUAA